rnacentral:rRNA from 1 species
ACUGCUCAGUAACACGUGGAUAACCUGCCCUUGGGUCCGGCAUAACCCCGGGAAACUGGGGAUAAUUCCGGAUAACGCAUAUAUGCUGGAAUGCUUUAUGUGUAAAAUGGAUUCGUCUGCCCAAGGAUGGGUCUGCGGCCUAUCAGGUAGUAGUGGGUGUAAUGUACCUACUAGCCUACGACGGGUACGGGUUGUGAGAGCAAGAGCCCGGAGAUGGAUUCUGAGACAUGAAUCCAGGCCCUACGGGGCGCAGCAGGCGCGAAAACUUUACAAUGCGGGAAACCGUGAUAAGGGGACACCGAGUGCCAGCAUCCUAUGCUGGCUGUCCGGGUGUGUAAAAUACACCUGUUAGCAAGGGCCGGGCAAGACCGGUGCCAGCCGCCGCGGUAACACCGGCGGCCCGAGUGGUGAUCGUGAUUAUUGGGUCUAAAGGGUCCGUAGCCGGUUUGGUCAGUCCUCCGGGAAAUCUGACAGCUUAACUGUUAGGCUUUCGGAGGAUACUGCCAGACUUGGAACCGGGAGAGGUAAGAGGUACUACAGGGGUAGGAGUGAAAUCUUGUAAUCCCUGUGGGACCACCUGUGGCGAAGGCGUCUUACCAGAACGGGUUCGACGGUGAGGGACGAAAGCUGGGGGCACGAACCGGAUUAGAUACCCGGGUAGUCCCAGCCGUAAACGAUGCUCGCUAGGUGUCAGGCAUGGCGCGACCGUGUCUGGUGCCGCAGGGAAGCCGUGAAGCGAGCCACCUGGGAAGUACGGGCCGCAAGGCUGAAACUUAAAGGAAUUGGCGGGGGAGCA